UACGGAGGGGGCUAGCGUUGUUCGGAAUUACUGGGCGUAAAGCGCACGCAGGCGGUCUUCCAAGUCAGAGGUGAAAUCCCCAGGCUCAACCUGGGAAUUGCCUUUGAGACUGUUAGACUAGAGGUCGGGAGAGGGUAGUGGAAUUCCCAGUGUAGAGGUGAAAUUCGUAGAUAUUGGGAAGAACACCAGUGGCGAAGGCGGCUACCUGGACCGAUACUGACGCUGAGGUGCGAAAGCGUGGGGAGCAAACAGG
rnacentral:rRNA from 1 species